rfam:Firmicutes bacterium CAG:176 genomic scaffold, scf122
UCAGUCAAUAGAGGCGCGGAGGACAGGGUACUGCAUAUUUGGGGACAGGCACCCGGUAAAUUUGCAGGAAGGGGUCUUCCGCCGAAGGGGCCGGACGGGUCUGUGCGUAUGGUUCCUGGCAGCGCGGUGUAAGCGGCGCUGCUGUCAUGUAGUGAUACAUGGAGCGCUAUUGGUCAA